UUCCUCCUCACUUCCCCUGGUGUGGCUGGACAGGGCUGCUGGUCAGGAGGCAUGUAGUCAUGUUGGAAGGCAGCAGUCCCAGAGCCAGGAAAGGGGUUAAGGCCAUCACAAAGUUCAGCAAGAGGCGGGCUCUGUGUGGGUCUGGGGCCACCAGAACUCGUUGCUCAGAGGUCCCCAGUGCUGGGAGCAGGAGGGGCCACUCCCGUUCCCACCCACACCCUCUGUGGGCCACCUAAUGUGGGGAGUGGGAAUACCACCCUGCAGACCCCUCCCUUCUCCGGCCACAGGCAGCUAGUCCCACGUCCAGCCUGCCAAAGCCCUCUGCAGCCCCCACCCCUGCCCGCCCCUACUCCCAGGAGUGGAGGGCUCUCUUUGCAGGAGCCCAGAAGUUCAUUUCCUGUUCCAGCAGCUCCUGAGGUUGGGGUCUCCCAUGGCUGCAGCUGGCUGACCGGCCCCAUGCUGCGCUCUCCUCUCUGGCCUCAACUCGCUAUGACUCUAGCAUGGUUUAGUGGAUCCAGUCUCACUCCAUUUACAGGCCCACUCCCAUCCUCGCCACCUAGCCGGGCUUGUUCCCUGAACUUAAAGCCCUGGGGGGAGAGAACAAGGCUGAGGGGUCUACACCUCUGCUGAUCCUCCUAUUUCUCAGCCUGGCCGGUGACUCCAGAGCUGAGGCUGCACGCACCCCGGGCCCAGCAGUGUGGCUGUGGGUCCUGCGGCAGGGGAUCUACCCAGAGCUGUCUCUCCUGAGCCCAGCAGCCAGAUUUUCACUCCUGCCCAUGAGGUUCUCCAUGAACAUUAAACAUCCUGCAAGUUCUAUGCUGGCUAUAAGGUGUCAGACUUUCAAAGCCCCACUCAAGCUGUGUCAUCACCAUGUAACUGUCAUGGCAAUAGCAGCAC
rnacentral:lncRNA from 10 species